rnacentral:misc_RNA from 1 species
UAUAGUACUCAGACGACACUUAAACACAAGAAGUUGGGGUCCCUCUGGCAGGCGCUCCCCAGCCGAAGCCGGGAGCCCGAAGGCGGCCUGCCAAAGCAACAAGAGUAAAUUAUACAGGGUGGGAGGUCUACCCGUGAGGGCAUAUCUCUGUAAUGAUCCUUCCGCUGGUUCACCAACGGAAACCUUGUUACGACUUUUACUUCCUCUAAAUGACCAAGA